GACGAACGCUGGCGGCGGGCUUAACACAUGCAAGUCGAACGGAAAGGCCCUGCUUGUGUGGGGUUCUCGAGUGGCGAACGGGUGAGUAACACGUGAGUAACCUGCCCUUGACUUUGGGAUAACUUCAGGAAACGAGGGCUAAUACCGGAUAGGAGCUCCUGCUGCAUGGUGGGGGGUGGAAAGUUUCGGCGGUUGGGGAUGGACGCGCGGCUUAUCAGCUUGUUGGUGGGGGAGUGGCUUACCAAGGCUUUGACGGGUAGCCGGCCUGAGAGGGUGACCGGCCACAUUGGGACUGAGAUACGGCCCAGAGUGCUACGGGAGGCAGCAGUGGGGAAUAUUGCACAAUGGGCGGAAGCCUGAUGCAGCAACGCCGCGUGCGGGAUGACGGCCUUCGGGUUGUAAACCGCUUUCGCCUGUGACGAAGCGUGAGUGACGGUAAUGGGUAAAGAAGCACCGGCUAACUACGUG
rnacentral:rRNA from 1 species